rnacentral:rRNA from 1 species
AGGUCCAGCCUGCCCAGUGAUUUUAUUUAACGGCCGCGGUAUUCUAACCGUGCGAAGGUAGCGCAAUCACUUGUUUUCUAAAUAAAGACCAGUAUGAAAGGCAUCACGAGAACUUAACUGUCUCCUUUCUCCAAUCAGUGAACCUAAUCUCCCCGUGAAGAAGCGGGGAUCCCCCUAUAAGACGAGAAGACCCUGUGGAGCUUAAAAUAUAAUAUCAACUACUGCCCCAAUCACCCUCCCCACUUCCCCAGCGGCACCCUGAUCACAUAUUUUUGGUUGGGGUGACCGCGGAGAAAAACUUACCCUCCGUGAUGAAAAAGAAUUCCCUUAAACAACAAGUUACAACUUUAUGUAUCAAAAAAUUGACAUUCAUUGACCCAAUAAAUUGAUUAACGAAC